UCAAGGCCCUUCACCAUCUUCGUUGACCUCCUUUGGAUGCUCUCUAAUAGCUUAAUAUCUUCUUGUUUAAGUAAGUUUAGGCUCAUUCUUAUAUCCAUGCUUAUACCAGCAAAGUCAUGAAAAAAUGUGCUUCUCAUUGAAGGGGAAGGUGCUAAAUAUUGUGGUAUUUAUUAUUCCCUUGGGGCAAUUCAUUUUAUCAUCUCAGGCUGAUGAAAGUUUCAUCUCACAGAUGAGCUGUAUACUCUUAAUGAGACUUUCACUAGCCAGACAAUUGAGGAUAUUGGUCAUGGUUGGCCCUUUAGACUUUUAGGAACCAGGCCACGAAUGCCUUGGACACAGCAAUUAAGAAUUCAACUUGCAAGAGAGAACAGGUGUGACCCAUAUGACUUGGACCAUCUUGCUGAGAAGAGGUCCUGAAGCAUUACAAGCCGAAGAUUUUCAUUCAGAAUCAGACCUCACAAAACAUGGGGCAGAUAAACCUGAGGUGUAGACCACAUUUAUAGAGAGGUUAUUUUGAUAUCACUUUCCAAUGAAUCAUUAGUCUUUUACCUUUUUCUCCCCACAUAGGAAGGGAUAGAACAUCAAUAUCUGAAGGAAAGAGGACAUCUGGGAACCUGGACUUCAGUGCAGAUAUUUAGCAUAAUAGAGAAUUCUUGUUUUCCAAGAAGCAAAGACAAGAAAAAUUAUCAUGUGGCCACUUUGGCUCCAGAUUAAUUUUUUUAAAUAGAAAAAACAGGUACUUUUUUGUAGAACUAUCAAAAAGCAAAGGGUCUGGGUGUCAUAACUGCAUCCUGUUUCACCAAUGGUAAAACCUGCUUUGACCCUCCGGUAUAAAAAAUAGCCAAAACAGCCUGUUUAGUAAACCAGAGAAAGCACAGUGUCUCCAAAGGGCCUGGCCUAAGUGAGCAUCCAGAAUCCCAGCAAGCCAAGAAAUUUGAAGGCAGUCAGACUUGAUUAAAUUAUUUUUUACUACAAAUCUCAUUUCAGAGAAUGAUUAACGGGAGAAGAGACAUAAAUGGCAAAGUCUUGAUCAAAGAAGCUGCUGUCAGGGUACCAUCUAGAUAAAUUAAGAAAAGAAUGCUCAAGUUUCUGUGAAAGAAGACUAAUGACAUUAAGUCAGGAUGAAAUAGAAAGAAGCAGCAUUGCAGCCUGAAAUAAAAGACUAGCCUGUCCUGACAAGAAGCCCUGAGAAAUUUCCUGAACUAAAAAAGUAACUGGAAUUGGAAAGGAAUGAUUUUCUAUAAAUGCCGGGUCUUGAAGUUAUUCAAGACCCAGUCAAAUUUGCUCUUUGAACCUGUCAAGACAAGUGAAGGAAUCCUCUGGAAGCACCUGAAACAGCAGUUGUUAAUAUCAGCUCUACACACACAGCUGUUCUACAUCUCAUGUGCUUACCCUACCCAAUGAGGAUCAGCUCCUUCACUUAAAGUCUGAAACAGUCCCAGCUGCAGGCAAGCAAACAGAGGAUAAAAGGAGAGUGUGAAACCAACAGCCAGUAAAUGUUUAUGUAACUCAGGGAACCUGUUUACAAGAAAGCAGGAAUGGCAGUCUCCUGGAGGAAGCAGUGGCCCUAGCUGAAAUCUUGGGAAGACUUUAAAAGUGAUCUGAAGGUACCUGUGCAAACAGAUGUUUCUCAGAAGUGUUUGCAUUGCAAGUGACAUCUGGCUGACAGGAAGCUGGAGAAAUGGGAUAUGAAGUGAAUGCUGCAGUUACCACAGUAUCAUAUUUAUCAAAAGGCUUAAGGAGCCCAUGUCUUCGCCACCUUAGUCAUCUUCCCAGCCUUUGGAUGAAGCAUCUGAAUCCCCAACAUUACUUCUGGAGCCCCUUAAAAAGCAGACUUCCUAAAAGCCGCUGAUGAAUGAUGCUGACUGAUGCUGAAAGUUGUUCUCAAAUGGGAGAUAAUCUGAUCUGAAGAGUAUUUACAGCCCAGAUACCUGAUGUAUUACUUCAUCAGCAAAUUCAACAAGGCCAAGAUGUCUUCAUUUUCCUUCAGAGCAAGAGCUGUAAGAGCAGUGUGAGGGAAGCAUUGGUCUUCUGUGGCCAGCCGGCGAGAACCCAUCAACAGCUGUGAUGAGCAGACCAGACAUGGGGAACAGGAGGCAGCUGAAGCCAAAGAGGACCCACGCCUGGAGCUGUGUCUGUGUGAUUGGAGCAGAGAGAGGCCAGGACCCAAGGAAAUCCCAGCAGCAAGGGAAAAAAACAGAUUGACUCUCAGUGACUCAUUUAGCUCCUGGAUUGGACAGAUCUCUCCCCUGCUGGCAAUUUGGCUGAGCAUCAAUGGACAGAUACCAGGAUGAAUAGCUUAAAAUAAUUAGGGGUUGGGAAUUUGCAAAACUGCUAGCCAUCCAAUUCUUUACUGUGCAAUGCAAGGCACAAAAAAGAAAUUACAUUUAGGUUAUUAAAUAUUAAGUCAGUGGAUUUACCUCCAUUUGGUGCAGAACAGGAAACUGGCUAAAAUUCAACAUUUAUAUCAUUGUGUUGAUGGUCUGUUUAUCACUGAGCAAGUAAGUGCCUUUUGGCAGGUCAAGCUCUUUGACACAUGGGGCAAAUGUGUGCUUAAUUUCUCUCAAACAGAAGAAUUAAUAUAAUAAUAAUUAACACAGAUGAGAACAGAAUUAAAAUCAAGUACAGUCAGGAGUUCAGUUUAAUGCCAGGUGUCUCACAUUUUAGAUGCUCUGGGGCCAGAUUUUUUCCUGUUGAAGGUAGUGAGGAUUUUGCCAUUGGCAGUUAUGGGAGCUAAAGUGGGCUUUGGAUGCAGAGAAACAGGAUUGCCUGUACUUUCUUUUUAAUGCACAGACCCAGAAGCAACAGGCUCAUUUAGUAUCAGUAAAGGUCAGUUAAAAUUAUAGAGACAUCCUUUGGAGCAAAUCCUCUGCCUUGUAUUUGCAUAUUUAUGAAUUAAAGAUUACGACAGGCUAUUUCAUUUAUUAGAGCAGCACCGCUAUAGUUAAUAGUCUGUCAGUAUUUCCAUUAUAAACCCCAUUUUUCAGUGUUUUAAUUUCUCAGCCAUUUAAAAUCACAUCAGGAAACAAGUUGGUCUUAUGUUGCUGGCCAGGUGAAAUUUUUUUGUUGUGGCUUAUUUUCCAUAAUGAAAUACGGUUCAUCAUAUGUGCAGAUGAGUCACAGCAUUUCUGUUGGAGGAAAAUAACAAAGUGUGUAAAUUCAUUGUGGCUUUGUUUUUCUUUAGGAAAGAAGGGAAAAGAAGGAUUUGACCAAUCACGUCUACUGGGGCUUCAUUUUUGAAGAACAGUUUUUUAAGCAGCUACUCUCAGAGCAAACACUGGUUCCCAAUGUGAAAUCAGGUUGCUGUUUGCUUGCCACUGGUGACCAAGGCAUGGAUCAUAGUAGAGGAUGGUAAUAAUAUUGCACGAAUAGACUGUCUCCUCAGGGACACAGGCUUCUUCAUAAACAUACAAAUAGGAGACAGAAACCAGGCGUAAAGAGGCCUUCAUUCACUCAUGGCAUGAAACUACCCCAAAAUGGACAUGUGACAAUUGCUGAGUCAUGAAUUGCACUGGAAUAAUUGAAGGCAGAAAAAGAACAGGAAGAACUUUCUAUCUCAUGAAGAAUCACGUGAGAUUAACCAGAAAUGUGACUAGAAAUGUAUUUUUAUGACUUGACAGACAUCAGGACAACCCAUAAAACAUGGUGGGAACAGAACCACACAGUGAAUCAGAUUAUUCUUUGAACUUUCCUAGGUGUGUCCAGAGCUACUGUGUCUGCACAAAUUCCAAAAAGCUCAUGAUAUAGUGUCUGUUUUCACCUCUCAGAUUGAAGCCCAUUAAAGAAUUUGAGGAAAACUAUUCAGUGCUGUGGGCAAUGAGGACCAAAGAAGAUCCAUUUAGAUGAGUUGCAGCACUACUGGUCUUCUGAUGGAAUUUUCAAAACUUCAGAUAAGUGGCAAAUUUUCAGCCAGCUCAAGGAACUCGAAAUAGGAAAGGGCAGCUUUGCAAGGAGAAACCAAGGCACCAGGUUAAUUGCAGUAAAUAAGGAGCAUCACACUCAUGUGUUCCUAGGGGGAACAGAGGAGCUGCAACACGGGACAGUCCUCCCUGUGCAACUUUUAAGUGAGGAAGAAGAGCUUUCAGAGUUAACUAAGAGUUAACUGGCUACAUUUCAACUGUCACCAUUGUCUUACAUCUACAUAGAGAGCAGAGAGAUCCAGAGAGGUUGUCCCACUCUCAGGUGGAUGGUUGCUCUUCAGCAUUUGGCCAAGGUCAGACAGGCAUUCAACAUUUCUCACAAAUAACUACACUUUGCACUUCUGUAACACACAUCCGGAGACCCCACAGGGCAACAGCAAAGAUCCUUCUAGCUGGUGCUGGACUGGAAAGUACCUGGUGUGAUGCAGCUUCUCCGUGUGGCGAACGUACCUGGGAGGAGAGCACCACUGCAUCCCGUGGGCUUCCAGGAGACGGGGUGGUGUGAAUCCCUGCCAUGGUGACAGCAGGGCAGGGAACCACUGGAUGAGUCGGCCUUCCCAGUGCUGGUUAUGCUCACUCUCACUGGCCAGGACACUG